CAUGGCUCAGGACGAACGCUGGCGGCGUGCCUAAUACAUGCAAGUAGAACGCUGAAGGAGGAGCUUUCUCUUCUGUAUGAGUUGCGAACGGGUGAGUAACGCGUAGGUAACCUGCCUGGUAGCGGGGGAUAACUAUUGGAAACGAUAUCUAAUACCGCAUAAGAGUAUAUUUUGCAUGACAUUUUCUUAAAAGGUGCAAUUGCAUCACUACCAGAUGGACCUGCGUUGUAUUAGCUAGUUGGUGAGGUAACGGCUCACCAAGGCGACGAUACAUAGCCGACCUGAGAGGGUGAUCGGCCACACUGGUACUGAGACACGGACCAGACUCCUACGG
rnacentral:rRNA from 1 species